rnacentral:rRNA from 1 species
AAAUUGAAGAGUUUGAUCAUGGCUCAGAUUGAACGCUGGCGGCAGGCCUAACACAUGCAAGUCGAACGGUAACAGGAAGCAGCUUGCUGCUUUGCUGACGAGUGGCGGACGGGUGAGUAAUGUCUGGGAAACUGCCUAAUGGAGGGGGAUAACUACUGGAAACGGUAGCUAAUACCGCAUAACGUCGCAAGACCAAAGAGGGGGACCUUCGGGCCUCUUGCCAUCGGAUGUGCCCAGAUGGGAUUAGCUAGUAGGUGGGGUAACGGCUCACCUAGGCGACGAUCCCUAGCUGGUCUGAGAGGAUGACCAG